rnacentral:tRNA from 1 species
AAGAUGGCUGANAAUAGGCGGUGGGUUGUAAUUCCAUUUAUGGGGUGAAUUCCUCUCUUUGCA